CUGAAGUCACGGGUCUAGAUGUUUCGCCAUAAAUUAUACUUUUAAUAAUUGAUCGCCUCAUUGAUUGAGUAAUUUACAGAAAUAUACCUACCGGGGCCAUUGUUAGGAAUUGAUUCGCUUAAAAAUUAAAAAUGAAAUCGUGCUCUAUAUUAUUUCUCGAUCAAAUCGACAUCGACGUCGAUCGGUUCACUUUUAUCUGUUUCGAUCGAUUCUUGUCGUUCUCAAGAUUCCUUUCAUUUUUCUUUUAAUUGUAGAAGCAGAUAGACCUUGUUGAGCUCUUACACUUGUAAAAAUUCAACCCAGCCCGAUGAUCCGUUCAAAAGUCGUAGUUUCCAGGAUGGGAUGUGCAGCCGUUGACGUCAGCCAUGAUAUUAUCGCUCACUCCGGAAACCAGAUCACCACCAGGAGCCGUCUACAUUUCACCCGAAAAUUCAAAAGCUGCAAUUUACGUCGAAAUUAGAGGGAAAGUUAUAAUUCUCAGACAGCUUCCUGUUCGUCUAAACUUUGCAUGCAGAUUCCAAGACUUGAUUAAAAAUAUAUUGUCGAGAAAGAACAAUUUGUUUGAAUAAGUAAA